GACGAACGCUGGCGGCGUCCCUAAUACAUGCAAGUAGAACGCACAGUUUAUACCGUAGCUUGCUACACCAUAGACUGUGAGUUGCGAACGGGUGAGUAACGCGUAGGUAACCUGCCUGGUAGCGGGGGAUAACUAUUGGAAACGAUGGCUAAUACCGCAUAAUAUUGAUUAUUGCAUGAUAAUUGAUUGAAAGAUGCUAUUGCAUCACUACCAGAUGGACCUGCGUUGUAUUAGCUAGUAGGUGAGGUAACGGCUCACCUAGGCGACGAUACAUAGCCGACCUGAGAGGGUGAUCGGCCACACUGGGACUGAGACACGGCCCAGACUCCUACGGGAGGCAGCAGUAGGGAAUCUUCGGCAAUGGACGAAAGUCUGACCGAGCAACGCCGCGUGAGUGAAGAAGGUUUUCGGAUCGUAAAGCUCUGUUGUAAGAGAAGAACGGGUGUGAGAGUGGAAAGUUCACACUGUGACGGUAUCUUACCAGAAAGGGACGGCUAACUACGUG
rnacentral:rRNA from 1 species